rnacentral:rRNA from 1 species
AACGCGAAGAACCUUACCAAGGCUUGACAUCGCCGGAAAACUCGCAGAGAUGCGGGGUCCUUUUGGGCCGGUGACAGGUGGUGCAUGGCUGUCGUCAGCUCGUGUCGUGAGAUGUUGGGUUAAGUCCCGCAACGAGCGCAACCCUCGUUCCAUGUUGCCAGCAACACCUUCGGGUGGUUGGGGACUCAUGGGAGACUGCCGGGGUCAACUCGGAGGAAGGUGGGGAUGACGUCAAGUCAUCAUGCCCCUUAUGUCUUGGGCUGCAAACAUGCUACAAUGGCCGGUACAGAGGGCUGCGAUACCGUAAGGUGGAGCGAAUCCCUAAAAGCCGGUCUCAGUUCGGAUUGGGGUCUGCAACUCGACCCCAUGAAGUCGGAGUCGCUAGUAAUCGCAGAUCAGCAACGCUGCGGUGAAUACGUUCCCGGGCCUUGUACACACCGCGCAUA